GCCCGUUAGAGCUUUGCCCUGUGUCCUUCAUGUCCUCUGUGCAAUUUUAUACAUGGUGCAGCGCCUGGAACGGAACACUUUCCAGCUGGAGGGCCUUCCCUGGAAGCUAGAACUCCGGGGCCCAGUGCGCACGCCACGCUGCUUGGGAUGAGAAGUGUGAGUGGUAAGAAAGGAGAGCGGCAGCCGUUGGCUAGUGAGAGCAGUGUUCCAGCGCUGCAAAGGAGGCUGGAAAUCAUCAGAAAUUACCCAAACUGCCAUCCCAGUUAGGCCUCUAAAGUGCGGAGAACCCAGGAAUGGUCCCAGUUUGAUGCGCCCAUAACUGUUUCAAUGAAAAAUGUCAAAUAAGA